UUUUCCUUUUCUUCUCUCUUUCAGGACAGGAAAAAUCAUUUAAUUGGACCCAGCUAUGCCAAAACCUUUGGUUUUGGUUGGGUUUGAGCCAGACCCAAGAGCCUCCAGCCCUGAUGGCCUGCACUGGAGAACACCUGGUCCUGCACAUGCUGUGGGCCCCACUGGUGUCCUUGUGGGGGAUUUUACUGAGUUCCCUGGAACUGAGCUGGUUCUCACCCACUCCGAGGUCAAGCUGCAGUUGAUAUUUUAAAGGCAGUGGCCAGAUGAACUCCUGGCCACUCCUGUGUCCAGUGGUCACCAAGGUUUCUCGUGCAGUUGCUGCUCUCCUGUAAAACGUCCCCAGGCCGAGGCACUCGGUGCUGUGAGGGGAUUGGGUGUGUACAGGAUUCAGUUCAGAGUCAUCCUGGCAGCGCUGUGGGGUCCCUCGGAGGAGACGAGGGUGGCCCUGUCCAGCAGCAGAGGAUACAAGCCCACAGGACGGGCUCCCGUGCAGGAGCACGUGGAACUAAAACAAACCUUGGACAUGCCCAGGCUUUCCCAGCUUUCACCCACGGGGCAGCACCUGCUUUUGGCAUUUUUAAGUUUCCUCUUUUUCACCCCUUUCCAUCCCAGGCAGGACCUUCCCCGAAUGGAAAUAAAGAUGAAGUAUUUUAACGGGAUUUUUAAAACCAGAAGUUUUGCC